rnacentral:lncRNA from 1 species
AUUUACUUGUUUUUGAUUAUUUGAUAUCUGAAUAUUUUAGACUUGGAGCUCUCAUACUGAGUAUGUGAUGAGGCUGUGAAAUGUGCUGGAGUAUAAAUCUUCUUUUGAUAGGGAAGGUCAAAAAACUCUUCCAGUGCUCCUGGAAGCCCCUGGAUACCCUCCUCUGGUGCAGCAGGGUCUCUGCGUAAGCGUUGUGUCUCUUUCUUCUGG